rnacentral:tRNA from 1 species
GCAUUGGUGGCUCAGCGGUAGAGCUCCCGCCUGCCACGCCGGCGGACCGGGUUCAUAUCCCGGCCAAUGCC